rnacentral:misc_RNA from 1 species
GAUGAAGAACGCAGCGAAAUGCGAUAAGUAAUGUGAAUUGCAGAAUUCAGUGAAUCAUCGAAUCUUUGAACGCACCUUGCACCCUUUGGUAUUCCGAAGGGUAUGCUCGUUUGAGUGUCAUUGUACUCUCACACUUCUAAUUCCUUUCGGGACUGGGAGCGGUGGACUUGGGUGUUGCUGCUUUAGUUGUGGCUCACCUCAAAUAAGUUAGUGCAACUCUUGGUUGGACAUAGUACGGCGUGAUAAGUGUCUUCGCCGGCGCCUCUGUAAGGAGGGUGGCCGAUCGGGAGCUCUGUGCUUCAAACCGUCUUCGGACAAUCUUUGACAACUUGACCUCAAAUCGAGUAGGACUACCCGCUGAACUUAAGCAUAUCAAUAAGCGGAGGA